AAGUCCGUGAUUAUUGCAUUUUCAUAUAUUCCUGAAAUAUCUUAUCUGAAUUUUGUUGAUGAUUCCUCAUCUUUUAGAGCGAAGUGUCAAUGCUGUGGAGUUGCAGCCAGUCUUUGAUUUUGAUGAGUUUUAGUCUCAAAGGUGCCCAAAAAUUUGCUUCCAAUCUUGGUGUGUAUUGUGGCUUGCCUUCAACUUUUCAUGUUAUUGUGAAAUUUCAGAAAGCUUUUGCAACAUAAUUUUUUCUUUGACUAUUUGGUUCAUCCGAGUUGUAGUCUUAUAUGAUAAAUUUCUUUAUUACUUGCUCUAAAACACGAAUUUUCCUAUCAAAAAGCUGAACUCUUAUGUGAUUCAUUUUUAAACUUCUAUUUUUAAUAUUAAGUUAAUUGCCUCAUGCAAUGUUUUGUUAAAAUUUUAACGUGAAUACCAUAUGUUGUUCAUCUGCGAACAUAGUUGAUAAUCCCGUGGAUAGUAGGCUCACUUUGGAUUUCUAUAUGUGAGAAAUUUGACCAUUGAAUCUAAAAGUUAACAAUACAAGUUCUAAAAUUUUCCUCCUUGGUCAUUUUUUUUUCCUGUGUGCCAACUUAGUCAAUCCGCAAGGCCAAAUCUCUAGUGGAAAUUUUUGCAAUCUUGUGGCCUAAUUUACUAUUUUUUUUUUACUUCAAAAAAUGGUUCGAAGAUGAGAGAUCAGUAGGAAGAUGAAGAAUUAGCUAAACAGAUAUGUCCAGAUUUGUUGUGAAUGAGUGUAGCACUAUUUCAUGAACAAAACUUUGCAUUUUUGUUGUUUUCUUUUUAAUUAUGAAUAAGUUAGCCUAAGUUGGGCUGCUUGGAAUUCACACUUCUGUCUUCACGAUUUCAGGAGGAAUUCAUAGUAAUAAGAGUAAUAACUUGAAUAGUCCAAAGUUCUCUUUACCAAGACUUCUACUGAGUUUCAGCUGAAGAUUCUGUAUCGGCAGAUUCAUAAGACGAACCCAGACUUCACAUUGACGGAUGGAUUGAUUGAAUGGGUGUUGGGAUUGAAAUAUGCUUUACAAUAUCGUAUGUUUACAGGUAUAUUAUCAUUAGUAUCAUUGAGUGCUACCGAAACUUGU